CCUACGGGUGGCAGCAGUGAGGGAUAUUGCACAAUGGGGGAAACCCUGAACCAGCGACGCCGCGUGAGGGAAGACGGUUUUCGGAAUGUAAAGCUCUAUCAGCAGUGAAGAUAAUGACGGUAGCAGAGGAGGAAGCCCCGGCUAACUACGUGCCAGCAGCCGCGGUAAUACGUAGGGGGCAAGCGUUGUCCGGAUUUACUGGGUGUAAAGGGGGCGUAGGCGGGAGGGCAAGGCAGGAGUGAAAGCCAGGGGCUUAACCCAGGGACUGCUUUGGAAACGGUAAGUCUUGAGUGAAGGAGAGGUAGGCGGAAUUCCCGGUGUAGCGGUGAAAUGCGGAGAUAUCGGGAGGAACACCAGUGGCGAAGGCGGCCUACUGGGCUUUAACUGACGCUGAGGCUCGAAAGCGUGGGGAGCAAACAGGAUUAGAUACCCCUGUAGUC
rnacentral:rRNA from 1 species